rnacentral:rRNA from 2 species
GCGGCGGACGGGUGAGUAACACGUAGGUAACCUGCCUGUAAGACUGGGAUAACUCCGGGAAACCGGGGCUAAUACCGGAUAACAUUUUGCACCGCAUGGUGCGAAAUUGAAAGGCGGCUUCGGCUGUCACUUACAGAUGGACCUGCGGCGCAUUAGCUAGUUGGUGAGGUAACGGCUCACCAAGGCGACGAUGCGUAGCCGACCUGAGAGGGUGAUCGGCCACACUGGGACUGAGACACGGCCCAGACUCCUACGGGAGGCAGCAGUAGGGAAUCUUCCGCAAUGGACGAAAGUCUGACGGAGCAACGCCGCGUGAGUGAUGAAGGCUUUCGGGUCGUAAAACUCUGUUGUUAGGGAAGAACAAGUAUGAGAGUAACUGCUCGUACCUUGACGGUACCUAACCAGAAAGCCACGGCUAACUACGUGCCAGCAGCCGCGGUAAUACGUAGGUGGCAAGCGUUAUCCGGAAUUAUUGGGCGUAAAGCGCGCGCAGGCGGUUUCUUAAGUCUGAUGUGAAAGCCCACGGCUCAACCGUGGAGGGUCAUUGGAAACUGGGAGACUUGAGUGCAGAAGAGNAAAGUGGAAUUCCAUGUGUAGCGGUGAAAUGCGUAAAGAUAUGGAGNANCACCAGUGGCGAAGGCGACUUUCUGGUCUGUACUGACCCUGAGCGCGAAGCGUGGGGAGCAACAGAUUAAUUUCCCCUGGUAAA